AACCAAUAGGUUGUUGUUCAUAAAAGGGGUUUAUUGCAUAAAUGAGCUACCCCAUAUUUUUGUUAUUUAAUUUGGAGUUGAAAAACUAUUUUAUUUAAUUAGUUUUGAAGCCCUAAAGGCAUUAUAGGGCAAAGCUAUCUUUGUAUAUUUUAUUUUGAGGGAUUUAUGGUCCCAAAAGUUGAAUCAUAUUAUAAUAUGAUUUUAUAAAAUUUUCUAGAGUUGAUUUGAAUUGAUUUCGAGUUCAAAUUCAAAAGCUAGAAGAAAACAGAAAAAGAAAGGAUAAAAGAACAAAAAAAAAAGAGAAAACGGCCGGCCCGGCCAACAUGGGCUGAACCGGCCCAGCUUCACCCCACGCCUGAGUAGCCAGGCCGUAGCCCAGC
rnacentral:lncRNA from 1 species